UACAGAGGGGGCAAGCGUUAUUCGGAAUUAUUGGGCGUAAAGGGCGCGUAGGCGGCUUGGCAAGUGGAUGGUGAAAUCCCACGGCUCAACCGUGGAACUGCUGGGUAUACUGGUUGUCUUGAGCCAGCUAGGGGCGAGCGGAACAGACGGUGGAGCGGUGAAAUGCGUAGAUAUCGUCUGGAACGCCGAAGGUGAAAACAGCUCGCUGGGGCUGCGCUGACGCUGAGACACGAAAGCCAGGGGAGCGAACGGG
rnacentral:rRNA from 1 species